ensembl:misc_RNA Metazoa_SRP Metazoan signal recognition particle RNA
GCUGGGCGCAGUGGUUUACGCCUGUAAUCCCAGCACUUUGGGAGGCUGAGGCGGGUGGAUCACCUGAGGUCAGGAGUUCAAGACCAGCCUGGCCAACAUGGUGAAACCCCGUCUCUA